rnacentral:rRNA from 1 species
AGCGAACGCUGGCGGCAGGCUUAACACAUGCAAGUCGAGCGGGCAUCCUUGUGGUGUCAGCGGCAGACGGGUGAGUAACGCGUGGGAACGUGCCCUUCGGUUCGGAAUAACUCAGGGAAACUUGAGCUAAUACCGGAUACGUGCGAGAGCAGAAAGGUUUAUCUGCCGAAGGAUCGGCCCGCGUCUGAUUAGCUAGUUGGUGAGGUUACGGCUCACCAAGGCGACGAUCAGUAGCUGGUCUGAGAGGAUGAUCAGCCACACUGGGACUGAGACACGGCCCAGACUCCUACGGGAGGCAGCAGUGGGGAAUAUUGGACAAUGGGGGCAACCCUGAUCCAGCCAUGCCGCGUGAGUGAUGACGGCCUUAGGGUUGUAAAGCUCUUUUCUCCGGGACGAUAAUGUCGGUACCGGAGGAAUAAGCCCCGGCUAACUUCGUG